rnacentral:rRNA from 1 species
CAAUAGCGUAUAUUUAAGUUGUUGCAGUUAAAAAGCUCGUAGUUGGAUUUCGGGUGUAAACUGCCGGUCCGUCUUUGAUGUGUACUGGUUGGUUGCGCCUUAUUGUCGAGGACGUGGUUCUGGCUUUCAUUAGCUGGGACACGGAGUCGGCAGCGUUACUUUGAGAAAAUUAGAGUGUUCAAAGCAGGCUAUCGCUCUGAAUACUACAGCAUGGAAUAACACGAUAGGACUCCGAGCCUAUUCUGUUGGUCUUCGGGACCGGAGUAAUGAUUAAGAGGGACAGUUGGGGGCAUUCGUAUUCCGAUGUCAGAGGUGAAAUUCUUGGAUUAUCGGAAGACGAACAUCUGCGAAAGCAUUUGCCAAGGAUGUUUUCAUUAA